AGUAAUGUCUGGGAACUGCUGAUGGAGGGGGAUAACUACUGGAAACGGUAGCUAAUACCGCAUAACGUCGCAAGACCAAAGAGGGGGACCUUCGGGCCUCUUGCCAUCAGAUGUGCCCAGAUGGGAUUAGCUAGUAGGUGGGGUAACGGCUCACCUAGGCGACGAUCCCUAGCUGGUCUGAGAGGAUGACCAGCCACACUGGACUGAGACACGGUCCAGACUCCUACGGGAGGCAGCAGUGGGGAAUUUUGGACAAUGGGCGCAAGCCUGAUCCAGCCAUGCCGCGUGAGUGAAGAAGGCCUUCGGGUUGUAAAGCUCUUUCAGCCGGGAAGAAAACGCAUGGGUUAAUACCCUGUGUGGAUGACGGUACCGGAAUAAGGAAGCACCGGUUAAUUACGUGCCAGAAGCCGGGGGUAAUACGGUAGGGUGCGAGCGUUAAUCGGGAAUUACUGGGGGUAAAGGGUUGCGCAGGGGGGUUGGUAAGGAAUAGGGGGUUAAAUCCCGGGGGGGUUUCAAACCNUUUGGGGAAAAACCUUGGGGUUUACAUUGAAACUGUGGGAGGGGGUCAUAAAGAAGAUUAUUGGGGCAAAGAGGGGGGGG
rnacentral:rRNA from 1 species